rnacentral:rRNA from 1 species
GCGGACGGGUGAGUAACGCGUGGGCAAUCUGCCCGUAGGUGGGGGAUAACACCGAGAAAUUGGUGCUAAUACCGCAUAACAUCAUUGGGAAGCAUUUUCUGAUGAUCAAAGGAGAAAUCCGCUUACGGAUGGGCCCGCGUCUGAUUAGCUAGUUGGUGAGGUAACGGCUCACCAAGGCGACGAUCAGUAGCCGGCCUGAGAGGGUGAUCGGCCACACUGGAACUGAGACACGGUCCAGACUCCUACGGGAGGCAGCAGUGGGGAAUCUUCCGCAAUGGGCGCAAGCCUGACGGAGCAACGCCGCGUGAGUGAGGAAGGCCUUCGGGUCGUAAAACUCUGUCAUCAGGGAAGAAACAAAUGACGGUACCUGAGGAGGAAGCCACGGCUAACUACGUGCCAGCAGCCGCGGUAAUACGUAGGUGGCAAGCGUUGUCCGGAAUUACUGGGCGUAAAGAGCGCGUAGGCGGGGAUUUAAGUCAGGAGUGAAAACUGCCGGCUCAACCGGCAGCCUGCUCUUGAAACUGGAUUUCUUGAGGGUAUGAGAGGAAAGCGGAAUUCCCAGUGUAGCGGUGAAAUGCGUAGAUAUUGGGAGGAACACCAGUGGCGAAGGCGGCUUUCUGGCAUACAACUGACGCUGAGGCGCGAAAGCGUGGGGAGCAAACGGGAUUAGAUACCCCGGUAGUCCACGCCGUAAACGAUGGGCACUAGGUGUAGGAGGUAUUGACCCCUUCUGUGCCGUAGUUAACACAAUAAGUGCCCCGCCUGGGGAGUACGGCCGCAAGGUUGAAACUCAAGGAAUUGACGGGGGCCCGCACAAGCGGUGGAGUAUGUGGUUUAAUUCGACGCAACGCGA